UCCUCCUCCGCCAUUAAGCCCCGUCACCACCAACUCUGGAUCCGACCCCGACCUCAACCCAACGACCACUCCGCCACGACACGAGACCCAAACUCCGGAUCCAACCCCAACCCCAACUCCAGCGACCACUCCGCAACGACAAGAGAGAGUCUUGAAUCAGUUUUUCCCUCUCUCUCGCCGGCGUCGAAGACCCCAUCAAAGACCCCCACCCUAGGACCGUCGGAGACCCCCCCACCCCGUCGAAGACGAUCCCUCCCCCUCUCUCGCCGACGCAGAUAAAGUUGUAUAUUUUGGUACAUGGAGUCAUCUUCAAGCACUCGUCAUAGAUUGAUGUGUCAUUGUGGAAGGAGGGCUAUACUCUCCAGAUCUGGAACAACGACGAACCCUGGUCAAUUUUUUUUGGGAUGCGCUAAUUGGAAAGUGAAUAAUUGUGGAUUCUUCAAAUGGGUGUUUGAUGAAGAGGAGUUUGAAGGUUCAAAGGCAGGGCUUGUUCAAACGAAGCAGUCGAGCGUGAUCCCGCAAGUUUCAAGUGCAGUGUCAAUUGGAGAAGUUCGGGAAAAGAGAAAGAUUGAAAUUAAUAUUAUGGAAUUGUUGAAGCUUUUUGUAUUUGUUCUUUUAUUCGGUAUUUUUCUUGGAUUUGUAUUUGGUAUUUUUAUUGGAUUUGUGCUAAGUAGGGUGUAAGAAUGUAUUAUUGGAUGAGUAAGAUUUGUAUUUGAUAUGAUAAAUUUGGUCUUUUAUUUUU